GGGCCGAUGGUCUAGUUGGUUAGGACAUCGCCUUGACGUGGCGAAGAUCGGGAGUUCGAAUCUCCCUCGGCCCA
rnacentral:tRNA from 1 species